UUCUUGGGAUCAGGAGCGUAGAAAUGCAUUUAUGUGUCCUCUUUUUUUUCUGAUAAUGAUAAGCAAAAUUGCAUAUAACCUAUAUAAAAAGAAUUCGAAUUUAUUAUCAACUCGUGCAAUAUAAUUAAUUAAAAAAGUUCGUGGAUUGCCCCACCCCAUCGCGUGGUGAUCGGCGGGCGGGCGGCGGCCAUAUUAUUAGUGAGGUGUCAGUAUUUUCUCAACGUGACGGGAUUUUUGGGUGUGGAUCGUACAAUUUCCCGUCGUUCCUUGAUAGCGUGCAUUAGUGCAAGUGUAAGUGCGACCGGUCCAUCGUGAAUGUGUGGUACACGUGUCAAAGGAACACCCUCUUACAUAGAGAAAACAAGU